UACGGAAGGGCAGCAGUGGGGAAUAUUGCACAAUGGGCGCAAGCCUGAUGCAGCCAUGCCGCGUGUAUGAAAAAGGCCUUCGGGUUGUAAAGUACUUUCAGUCGUGAGGAAGGUGUUAAGGUUAAUAACCUUAGCAAUUGACGUUAGCGACAGAAGAAGCACCGGCUAACUCCGUGCCAGCAGCCGCGGUAAUACGGAGGGUGCGAGCGUUAAUCGGAAUUACUGGGCGUAAAGGGCACGCAGGCGGUUAAUUAAGUUGGAUGUGAAAUCCCCGGGCUUAACCUGGGAAUGGCAUUCAAGACUGGUUAGCUAGAGUCUUGUAGAGGGGGUAGAAUUCCAUGUGUAGCGGUGAAAUGCGUAGAGAUGUGGAGGAAUACCGGUGGCGAAGGCGGCCCCUGGACAAAGACUGACGCUCAUGUGCGAAAGCGUGGGGAGCAAACAGGGAUUAGAUACC
rnacentral:rRNA from 1 species